AUCAUUCAGUUGGGCACUCUAGCGAGACUGCCGGUAAUAAACCGGAGGAAGGUGGGGAUGACGUCAAAUCAUCAUGCCCCUUAUGACCUGGGCUACACACGUGCUACAAUGGUUGGUACAACGAGUUGCGAGUCGGUGACGGCGAGCUAAUCUCUUAAAGCCAAUCUCAGUUCGGAUUGUAGGCUGCAACUCGCCUACAUGAAGUCGGAAUCGCUAGUAAUCGCGGAUCAGCACGCCGCGGUGAAUACGUUCCCGGGCCUU
rnacentral:rRNA from 1 species